AACGAACGCUGGCGGCAGGCUUAACACAUGCAAGUCGAGCGCGUAGCAAUACGAGCGGCAGACGGGUGAGUAACGCGUGGGAAUCUACCCAAUCCUACGGAAUAACGCAUGGAAACGUGUGCUAAUACCGUAUACGCCCUUUGGGGGAAAGAUUUAUCGGGGAUGGAUGAGCCCGCGUUGGAUUAGCUAGUUGGUGGGGUAAAGCCUACCAAGGCGACGAUCCAUAGCUGGUCUGAGAGGAUGAUCAGCCACAUUGGGACUGAGACACGGCCCAAACUCCUACGGGAGGCAGCAGUGGGGAAUAUUGGACAAUGGGCGCAAGCCUGAUCCAGCCAUGCCGCGUGAGUGAUGAAGGCCCUAGGGUUGUAAAGCUCUUUCACCGGUGAAGAUAAUGACGGUAACCGGAGAAGAAGACCCGGCUAACUUCGUGCCAGCAGCCGCGGUAAAGUGACUACUG
rnacentral:rRNA from 1 species